AUCAGCUCUUCCAGGGCAAUAGUGGAUGCUGUGGGCUGUUUGUGGAUGAGGAACGAAGAAAACAAGAGUGGAGAAAGAAACUGAUUUAAAUAAAGCGAGUAGAGGGUAAAGAAUGGAAUGAGAAAACAAAGAAUGCGAGUCACUCCCACCUGAGACUCACUAGCCUGAGUUGAACUGACUCCAUGCCUGUGGAGCGUAGGCUUCAGGGAACAGAAGGACCCUUGAGUUUAAUCUUUCUCGGGGCAGAUCUGGGUCAGUGAAGGCCAACAGAAGGCUGGAUCCCAUGGGGCAAUACCUGAUAUCCCUGAAUGAUUCCAUUGUGAGCAUCAUGAGGUGGAGGCUCCCAGCUGAGAUGCACAGUGUCAUUACGCUCAGCAGGCAUUGUUAUGGACACAUCCUGAGGUGCAGCGCUGGGGACUGACAACACAACACAUGCUUACUGGCUGCUGCCGUAGGGCCGCACUUUGAACUCAUACUUGUAGCCUCUCUUCAGAGGUCCAACAUGGGUGUGAAGGCUAGGCUGAGGAACCCUUUGAGCCGUCCAGU
ensembl:processed_transcript